GACGAAGGGGGCUAGCGUUGUUCGGAAUUACUGGGCGUAAAGCGCGCGUAGGCGGCUCUUCAAGUCAGGCGUGAAAGCCCCGGGCUUAACCCGGGAAUAGCGCUUGAUACUGUUGGGCUUGAGUCCGGGAGAGGAUAGUGGAAUUCCCAGUGUAGAGGUGAAAUUCGUAGAUAUUGGGAAGAACACCAGUGGCGAAGGCGGCUAUCUGGACCGGAACUGACGCUGAGGCGCGAAAGCGUGGGGAG
rnacentral:rRNA from 1 species